GUUAGAGCAGUCGACACUGAACAAAACCCCAGGGAGCCAUUGGGACCUUGGGACACAGCCAGGGAUUCUCGGGGAUGCUCCUCUGAACUGGAGCCUCAGUAUGACACUGAGCUGCUAUCCUAGCACUACGACAUCCAGCAAAUGUGAACAUUCCAGGGCGAGGGAAUACAAGGGGCUCCAGCUGCCUCAGCUCCUUCCCCAAUGAUCCCAGUUCUUUGCUAAAUAGGACUUCGAGGCAGAGAGGAAAGGUGGAUGGGGAGUGUGAUUACACAGAAUCCUUCUUGAAGAACUUUGGUUACUAGGACAUGAUAUGCUGAGAUUGCUGUGAGAUGAAACUUGACUGAUGACAAAGAGAGACCUGCUCUUUUAAGAUAUGUAAGAAUUGGAGUUCUAUAUGGAUCAACUUCAUACAUGAAAACCCAC